CCGCCCGUGGCGAAGCUGGAUAUCGCAGUGGAUUCCGAUUCCAAAGGACGGGGGUUCAAAUCCCUCCGGGCGGGCCA
rnacentral:tRNA from 1 species